GACGAACGCUGGCGGCGUGCUUAACACAUGCAAGUCGAACGGAAAGGCCCCUUUGGGGGUACUCGAGUGGCGAACGGGUGAGUAACACGUGAGUAACCUGCCCUUGACUUCGGGAUAACUUCAGGAAACUGGGGCUAAUACCGGAUAGGAAUCCUUGCUGCAUGGUGGGGGUUGGAAAGCUUCGGCGGUUUUGGAUGGACUCGCGGCUUAUCAGCUUGUUGGUGGGGUAGUGGCUUACCAAGGCUUUGACGGGUAGCCGGCCUGAGAGGGCGACCGGCCACAUUGGGACUGAGAUACGGCCCAGACUCCUACGGGAGGCAGAGGUGGGGAAUAUUGCACAAUGGGCGGAAGCCUGAUGCAGCAACGCCGCGUGCGGGAUGACGGCCUUCGGGUUGUAAACCGCUUUCAGCAGGGGCGAAGCUUGUGGUGACGGUACCUGCAGAAGAAGCACCGGCUAACUACGUG
rnacentral:rRNA from 1 species